rnacentral:rRNA from 1 species
UAGGGGGCAAGCGUUAUCCGGAUUUACUGGGUGUAAAGGGAGCGUAGACGGCAAUACAAGUCGGAAGUGAAAUACCCGGGCUCAACCCGGGAACUGCUUUGGAAACUGUAUGGCUGGAGUGCUGGAGAGGUAAGCGGAAUUCCUAGUGUAGCGGUGAAAUGCGUAGAUAUUAGGAGGAACACCAGUGGCGAAGGCGGCUUACUGGACAGUAACUGACGUUGAGGCUCGAAAGCGUGGGGAGCAA